UCUUCAGAAUGAUGCUGAAAAAGCAACUGAAGUUCUGAGACAGUAGUUUCCAAAAUUGCAGCCAGAGAAUGGACAGAGAAAAUUUCAACAACCACAAGUGCCGUGAAGAGCAACAUAAUGCUUGCACAGUGAAUUAUGACAAGGAGAGCAGAGAAUUGUCACAGGUACAAAUUCCUUGGCCAUAUGUUUGACAGAAGUUCCUGACUUGUAAUUAGCAGAGACACCGAGAAACACCUGGAAGGAUUUUUUUUUCUUUUUUUACUGAGUUAAGGAUGGAAAGUAAUAUAAAAGGUCGAA